rnacentral:rRNA from 1 species
GCUUGUCUCAAAGCUUAAGCCAUGCAAGUCUCAGUACAAGCUACAUUAAAGUGAAACCGCAAAAGGCUCAGUAAACCGGUCAUAGUUUACCGGAACUAUGCCACUUACGUGGAUAACUGUGGUAAUUCUAGAGCUAAUACAUGCAAACAAGUCCGGACCAGAGAUGGAAAGGACGCUUUUAUUGGAUCAAAACCAUUCGCCUCCGGGCGUCUGCUUGAUGACUCUAGAUAACAACACAGAUCGCACGGUCAUAGUACCGGUGACAUAUCCUUCAAAUGUCUGACUUAUCAGCUGUCGAUGGUAGACUCUUUGUCUACCAUGGCACUCACGGGUGACGGGGAAUCAGGGUUCGAUUCCGGAGAGGGAGCCUGAGAAACGGCUACCACUUCCAAGGAAGGCAGCAGGCACGCAAAUUACCCACUCCCAGAACGGGGAGGUAGUGACAAAAAAUAACGAUACGGGACUCAUCCGAGGCCCCGUAAUCGGAAUGAGAACAAUCUAAAUCCUUUAACGAGGAUCUAUUGGAGGGUAGGUCUGGUGCCAGCAGCCGCGGUAACACCAGCUCCAAUAGCGUAUAUUAAAGUUGUUGCGGUUAAGGGGACAGGCGGUUAGAAGCCGCACGAGACUGAGCAAUAACAGGUCAGGGAUGCCCUUAGAUGUUCUGGGCCGCACGCGCGCUACACUGAAGGAAUCAGCGUGUGCAUCCCUGUCCGAAAGGACCGGGUAACCCGCUGAACCUCCUUCGUGCUAGGAAUUGGGGCUUGCAAUUGUUCCCCAUGAACGAGGAAUUUCUAGUAAGCAUGAGUCAUUAGCUCAUGUUGAUUACGUCCCUGCUCUUUGUACACACCGCCCGUCGCUACCCCUGAUUGGGUGAUUUAGUGAGGUCUUCGGACCGGCGAUAACCGACGCCGACUUUGUUCGGUAUCGAUUUUGCUGGAAAGAUGACCGAACUUGAUUAUUUAGAAGAGGUAAAAGUCGUAACAAGGUUUCCCUUGGCAAAUGCUUUCGCAAAAAGCUCGUAGUUGGUUCUGCGUGCCACGCUGUCGGUUCACCGCCUGCCGGUGCAACUGGCAUGCCGUGGCAUGUCCUGUCGGUGGCUGAUGGGUCGCUUGGUAGGGCCCUAUGCGGCAACGUGUAGGUGUCCCUCUCCUUGCGCCUUGUAAGCCGGCUCAAUCCUACCGCGGUGCUCUUUACCGAGUGUCGAGGUAGGCCGGCACUGUUUACUUUGAACAAAUUAGAGUGCUUAAAGCAGGCUUAUAAAUGAGCCUGAAUAGUUGUGCAUGGAAUAAUGGAACAGGACCUUGGUUCUAUUUUGUUGGUUUUCGGAAUCCAAGGUAAUGAUCAAUAAGGACAGGCGGGGGCAUUCGUAUUGCGGCGUUAGAGGUGAAAUUCUUGGAUCGUCGCAAGACGCACUAAAGCGAAAGCAUUUGCCAAGUAUGUCUUAAUUGAUCAAGAACGAAAGUUAGAGGAGCAAAGGCGAUCAGAUACCGCCCUAGUUCUAACCAUAAACGAUGUCAGCCAGCGAUCCGCCGAUGUUCCUCCGAUGACUCGGCGGGGAGCUCCCCCCGGGAAACCAAAGCUUUUGGGUUCCGGGGGAAGUAUGGUUGCAAAGCUGAAACUUAAAGGAAUUGACGGAAGAGCACCACAAGAAGUGGAGCCUGCGGCUUAAUUUGACUCAACACGGGAAAUCGUUCUAGGCCCGGACAUUGGAAGGAUUGACAGAUUGAUAGCUCUUUCUCGAUUCAGUGGAUAGUGGUGCAUGGCCGUUCUUAGUUGGUGGAUUGGUUUGUCUGAUUAAUUUCGAUAACGAGCGAGACUCUAGCCUAUUAACUAGGCGACUCCUGUAUAGAAUAACUACAGGCGAUUAUUUCUCUUCUU